ensembl:snRNA U6 U6 spliceosomal RNA
GUGAUGGCUUUGGCAGCACAUAUGCCAAAAAUGGAACAAUACAGAGAAGAUUACCAUGGCCCCUGAGCAAGGAUGACAUGCAAAUUCAUGAAGUGUUGGAUAUUUUU